AUUGAACGCUGGCGGCAUGCUUUACACAUGCAAGUCGAACGGUAACAGGGUGCUUGCACCGCUGACGAGUGGCGAACGGGUGAGUAAUGCGUCGGAACGUGCCGAGUAGUGGGGGAUCACGCAGCGAAAGUCGUGCUAAUACCGCAUACGUACUGAGGUAGAAAGUGGGGGACCUUCGGGCCUCACGCUAUUCGAGCGGCCGCCGUCUGAUUAGCUAGUAGGUGAGGUAAAGGCUCACCUAGGCGACGAUCAGUAGCGGGUCUGAGAGGAUGAUCCGCCACACUGGGACUGAGACACGGCCCAGACUCCUACGGGAGGCAGCAGUGGGGAAUUUUGGACAAUGGGCGAAAGCCUGAUCCAGCCAUGCCGCGUGUCUGAAGAAGGCCUUCGGGUUGUAAAGGACUUUUGUCAGGGAGGAAAUCCCUAGUGCUAAUAACACUGGGGGAUGACAGUACCUGAAGAAUAAGCACCGGCUAACUACGUGCCAGCAGCCGCAGUAA
rnacentral:rRNA from 1 species